AUACUGCAUGAAAGUAGAAAACAUUAGUACUCUGCUUGAUAAGAAUGGAAGACGUAAUAAAUGGCUAAGACAUUGACGCCUUUCCUUAUGUCAUCUAGUCAUUUUAA
rnacentral:ncRNA from 1 species